AGAGUUUGAUCCUGGCUCAGAAUCAACGCUGGCGGCGCGCCUAACACAUGCAAGUCGCACGAGAAAGCGGGAGCAAUCUCGCAAGUAAAGUGGCGUACGGGUGAGUAACACGUGGAUCAUCUACCCUGGAGUGGGGAAUAACGCUGGGAAACCGGCGCUAAUACCGCAUAUACCCGAGAGGGGAAAGCAGCAAUGCGCUCGAGGAGGAGUCCGCGGCCGAUUAGCUAGUUGGCAGGGUAAAAGCCUACCAAGGCUGUGAUCGGUAGCCGGCCUGAAAGGGCACACGGCCACACUGGCACUGAAACACGGGCCAGACUCCUACGGGAGGCAGCAGUGGGGAAUCUUGCACAAUGGGGGAAACCCUGAUGCAACGACGCCGCGUGAGCGAUGAAGCCCUUCGGGGUGUAAAGCUCUUUCGGCAGGGAAGAUUAUGACGGUACCUGCAGAAGCAGCUGCGGCUAACUACGUGCCAACAGCCGCGGUAAUACGUAGGCAGCAAGCGUUGUUCGGAGUUACUGGGCGUAAAGGGUGUGUAGGUGGCGCGCUAAGUUCCGUGUGAAAUCUCCCGGCUCAACCGGGAGGGUGCGCGGAAAACUGGCGGGCUAGAGUACGGGAUGGGAGAGUAGAAUUCCUGGUGUAGCGGUGAAAUGCGUAUAUAUCACGAGGAAUACCGGUGGUGUAGACGGCUCUCUGGACCGUAACUGACACUGAAACACGAAAGCGUGGGUAGCAAACAGGAUUAGAUACCCUGGUAGUCCACGCCCUAAACGAUGCAUAUUUGGUGUACGUCAUUCAGUUGAUCUGUGCCGGAGCUAACGCGUUAAAUAUGCCGCCUGGGGAGUACAGUCGCAAGGCUGAAACUCAAGGAAUUGACGGGGCCCGCAUAGGCGGUGGAGCAUGUGGUUCAGUUCGACGCACGCGAAGGACCUUACUUGGGCU
rnacentral:rRNA from 1 species